UACGAAGGUCCCAAGCGUUAUCCGGAUUUAUUGGGUUUAAAGGGUGCGUAGGCGGGUUAUUAAGUCAGUGGUGAAAGCUCCCAGCUCAACUGGGAAACUGCCAUUGAUACUGAUAGUCUUGAGUAUGAUUGAAGUGGGCGGAAUGUGUCAUGUAGCGGUGAAAUGCUUAGAUAUGACACAGAACACCGAUUGCGAAGGCAGCUCACUAAGCCAUAACUGGCGCUGAUGCACGAAAGCGUGGGGGAGCAAACAGG
rnacentral:rRNA from 1 species